rnacentral:rRNA from 1 species
UACAGAGGGUGCGAGCGUUGUCCGGAAUCACUGGGCGUAAAGGGCGCGUAGGUGGUGGCUUAAGCGUGCGGUGAAAGCUCGGGGCUCAACCCCGAGUCGGCCGUGCGAACUGGGCUCACUGGAGCAUAGUAGAGGCAGGUGGAAUUCCCGGUGUAGUGGUGGAAUGCGUAGAUAUCGGGAGGAACACCAGUGGCGAAGGCGGUUGCCUGGGGCUUUGCUGACGCUGAUGCGCGAAAGCGUGGGGAGCGAUCCGG